rnacentral:rRNA from 1 species
GACGAACCGUGCGAACGUUGUUCGGAAUCACUGGGCGUAAAGGGUGCGUAGGCGGCCGGGUAAGUCUGAUGUGAAAUCUCACAGCUUAACUGUGAAACUGCAUUGGAUACUAUCCGGCUCGAGGAAUGGAGGGGAGACUGGAAUUCCUGGUGUAGCGGUGAAAUGCGCAGAUAUCAGGAGGAACACCGGUGGCGAAGGCAGCCCCCUGGGAUAACACUGACGCUCAUGCACGAAAGCGUGGGGAGCAAACAGG